rnacentral:piRNA from 1 species
UGGCAAGUCUCUGCUAUUUCCGA